rnacentral:rRNA from 1 species
GACGGAGGGUGCAAGCGUUGUCCGGAUUUACUGGGCGUAAAGAGCGCGCAGGCGGUCGUUCAAGUCGCGUGUGAAAGCCCCCCGGCUCAACUGGGGAGGGUCACGCGAUACUGAUCGACUCGAAGGCAGGAGAGGGAAGUGGAAUUCCCGGUGUAGUGGUGAAAUGCGUAGAUAUCGGGAGGAACACCAGUGGCGAAGGCGACUUCCUGGCCUGUUCUUGACGCUGAGGCGCGAAAGCUAGGGGAGCAAACGGGG